AUGCUUAAUUGCAAAACCGCGUCCACGCCUGUCGACACGAAGGCCAAGCUCUCUGCCACCGACAGCUCUCCUGCUCCGGAUGCUUCGUUUUAUCGGUCUAUUGUGGGAGUUCUUCAGUAUCUCACUCUGACACGAUCGGAGCUCCAGUAUGCUGUCCAGCAGGUCUGCUUACACAUGCAUGCUCCUCGUGAUGCUCACUGGACUGUGGUCAAGCGGAUUCUCCGUUAUAUCUGCGGCACCAUGGAUCUCGGGUUGUCUCUUCAUGCCUCUACCGCUCUGGACAUCACCGCAUACUCUGAUGCUGACUGGGCCGGCUGCCUUGACACGCGACGUUCCACUUCGGGAUAUUGUGUUUACCUUGGACCGUCCUUGAUCUCUUGGUCGUCCAAGCGGCAGCCCACUGUUUCUCGCCCCAGUGAUGAGGCAGAGUAUCGAGUGGUGGCUAACAUCGUUGCAGAGUGCUCGUGGCUUCGUCAGCUUCUUCAUGAGCUCUCUUGUCCUGUCGACAAGGCCAUGAUUGUCUACUGUGACAACGUCUCCGCAGUUUACCUCUCCGUCAACCCGGUUCAUCAUCGCCGCACCAAACAUAUUGAGCUUGACAUUCACUUUGUUCGGAAAUAG
rnacentral:rRNA from 1 species